AGUGUUCAGUGAUGAGACCAAGGAAUGUGUGCCAAUCAUGGUAUCUGAUCCCCAUGAGGAAAUAUUCCAUUGCUGCCUUCCUUCUGAGAACACU